rnacentral:rRNA from 1 species
AUGAGCAUUUUCAAAAUCCCCUAUUCAGUGUGUGAUGACCUGACUCGUAUGAUACGCCAAUACUGGUGGGGGGUGGAGAACGGCAAAAGGAAAAUGGCAUGGAUGAGCUGGGACAGACUACGGUUACCUAAAUCCAUGGGAGGCAUGGGUUUUCGGGACAUGAGGGCUUUUAACCAGGCUUUGCUCGCCAAACAGGCCUGGAGGCUUAUCGACAACCCGGAUAGCUUAUGUGCGCGUCUGUUGAAAGCUAAAUACUACCCCUAUGGUCAGCUUCUCGAUACAGUAUUCCCGAACUCCGUGGCCAGCCCCGGC